rnacentral:lncRNA from 1 species
AAAUGAAAGUGAAAGGGUUUAUACUGGACAGAUCUGUCAGGACCUGCACGGGUGAUUACAUCAGACAGUCCGUGUUCAAUACAAAGUAAGAGAAAAGAGGAGGUUCUGAGGAAGACUGCAGAAACAGAGGAGGAAAUCUACUGUAAACAUGUCGGGGUGGUGGCCUUGGAGCAAUACAGAAGACGCCAGUACAUCACAGGGAAAGCUGAAGUUCCGCCGUUCUGGGGAUGAAAGCCAACAUCGUUUGGCUACAGAAUUUAUAAAACAAUUAACAGAAAAAAUACCCAGCCUGACCGAGGUGUCUGCAGAAGAAGAAAAAGAGGAUAUCUUUCUGGUGUUCUCUCCGAAUGGAACUAACAGGAAUUUACCAGAAACCAAGCCUAGCGUUCGAGUGGUUCUCCGUGACAUUUACCCAGAGGACUCUGAACUGGACAGCAGCAGCAGCAGCAGCAGCAGUUCACAGGGAAAAAAUACACUGACUGUGGAAUUUUGGUCCCAAGACGGUAUCAGUAUACCAGAUCUGGAUACAGUAUCGGAGUGGAUAAACAGUCAGGUAUUUAAACAUUUAUCUAACAGUAAUAAACAGUGAAGACAUUUAUAGAUGUAGUAGUAUAACUGCCUGGCUAAAAGCCCCAGCUAAGCCCCUCCAGCAUGUGUUGCUAUUUAAUUUCAGAUGCUUUAGGUCAACAUUUGUUGGUUAAGGUGGUGCGUGAGCUAAAUAUCCAGCUGGAAAAGUUUAAAUAUGCCCUUUGUUUGUCAACUGGUUAAGCUGGUCCACAUGAUAUAAAAUCAAGAAUCUUCUUCCAUACCAUCUGACCUGAUCAAUAUGUUUUCCUCUAAUCGGUCUGAGAGGAUAGCUUAUUGAUUUUUUUAAGGGAAAAUGCAUUCAAACAUUUUACAAUUCAACUUGUAAAUGUUAUUGAUUCUCCAGAAUCAUGAUCACUUUUAAGAGACAGUAUUACAAUAAUAAAACAUUUCUUUCCUCCUGCA